CUCAGUAUCACUAUAUCGGUGUAUAGAUAGCAAUAUAUAGCGAUAGGGAUUAAAGCAAUCAGAGAAUGUAGUUCCUUGGACCCUUUCCCAUAUCCCUAUGUACAUCUAAAUAUCUCUAAGGUUUUUAGUAUCCCUGGAAUUCCCAUUUAAGUGUUAGACUCACCUGGGAGACUUUUUGACCAUGGCAGGUGAGCCAGCGCUAAUAUUACACCUUCCUGACUUGUCAAUAUAGGAUUCAUGUGGUGUA